AUGUAAGCGAUGUGGUUGAUCACAAAAAAAAAAAAAGAAGAAGAACGUAAGCGAAGUAAACUAUAUUGAUGAAAAAAAUAACAGAAGAAAUAAAACUAAACAAUACAAUCACCAAUAUAAUUACGCCCGAUCCUCUCUAGUUGCCCAAUAUACAUAAAAUGCAUAGGUGAAAACACAUAUAAAGAAUGCAAAAAGGGCAAAAUAAGCUAUAAACGCCAUUAGUCCCAAGCCCUCCAUUCCCCCUUCUCGU